AGUGGAGAAAGGUUCCAUGUGAACAGCAGUUGGACAUGGGUUAGUCGAUCCUAAGAGAUAGGCAAACGCUGUGUCAAGGUGUCUAAUCCGUUAGACCGUACAUCGAAAGGGAAUCAGGUUAAUAUUCCUGAACCAGAACGCGGAUUUCUGUGCCUUCACGGGUGCAGUGCUACGGCAACGUAAAUGAACCCAGAGACGCCGGCAGGAACCCUGGGAAGAGUUCUCUUUUCUUGUUAACAGUCUAAAACCAUGGAAGUUGAUUGCCAAGAGAUAUGGUCCACGGACUGGUAAAGCUCUACACCUCUUGUAGAGUCCGGUGCGUUCCUGAAGGCCCUUGAAAAUCUGGGGGAAAGAUUGAUUUUCGCGUCUGUUCGUACUCAUAACCGCAGCAGGUCUCCAAGGUGAGCAGCCUCUGGCCGAUAGAACAAUGUAGGUAA
rnacentral:rRNA from 1 species